rnacentral:RNase_P_RNA from 4 species
UACCCAUAUCAGAUGGUCGCUCCGUUGGGUAACCUUCGGGGAGGAAAGUCCGAACACUCGCUUGACGAAAGUUGGGCAGCAGGGUAGCGGGUAACGCCCGUCGAAAGUAAUUUCAGAGGUGCGAGCAGAGACGCUUCUAACGAAAGAAAGAAGCACCCCAUGUGGGUGAGCUCUUGUAGCAAUAUGAGAGGUGAAACGGCUAAAUCCUUACCUGGGUGCAAGGCCGUGUCGCGUGCAAGCGCGAAGUGCCGCUCGAGGGUGCGAGUAAUCGCAUUCCCAGAUAAAUGAUCAUCACCACUUCAGUGGGACAGAAUUCGGCUUAUCGAUAUGGAUACAUG